GACGUAGGGCGCGAGCGUUGUCCGGAUUUAUUGGGCGUAAAGAGCUCGUAGGCGGCUUGUCGCGUCGAAUGUGAAAACUCGGGGCUCAACUCCGAGCUUGCAUUCGAUACGGGCAGGCUAGAGUUCGGUAGGGGGAGACUGGAAUUCCUGGUGUAGCGGUGAAAUGCGCAGAUAUCAGGAGGAACACCGGUGGCGAAGGCGGGUCUCUGGGCCGAUACUGACGCUGAGGAGCGAAAGCGUGGGGAGCAAACAGG
rnacentral:rRNA from 1 species